UGAUUUCUCAAAUCACCGACUCAAACAAGCACUGAAGCAAAAGGACCUCUGCGAUUUCAGAAAUAGAAUCAAUCGAGCGAUGAAGAUCGAUCAGAGAGUGAUGAGAAUCUAAUCACUGAUUGAGAUUACAAUGAUUAAUUAGAACAGAGAGGCGUGUAAUUGAAUCUGAGAUCCGAUCGCUUCAAAUCUUACAAAUUCGUCUGAUUACGCACAAAUCUUUUAGAUUGAUGAGAACGUGGCGAGAGAGAUUAUUAAAUCAUAUAGAUCACUUCGUCAUCCUAAUAUAAUCUGGUUUAAGUAGGUGGUUUUGACACCAACGCAUAUCGCCAUUGCUAUGGAAGAUGCUGCUGGCGGUGAGUUAUUUGAGCGUCUAUGUAGCGAUGGAAGAUUCAGUGAGGAUGAUAAGGCAAGAUACUUUUUCCAGCAGCUUAUAUUAGGAUUCAGCUAUUGCCACGUUAUGAGAUCUCAAGCUUCAAAAUACACUCUUGGAUGGAAGAUCUGUGAUUUUGGUUAUUCCAAGUUCUCACUGUUGCACUCUAGGCCCAAAUCAAUUGUUGGAACUCCUGCAUAUAUUGCACUUGAGUUUCUUUCUCGUAGAGAGUAUGAUGGCAAGAGUUGCAGUGUGUGGCUGAGUGUGUGGUAGAAGUGAAAAAGAGAUGAUACCUUUAGUGUUCUCUACUUGAUGUUUGUGUUAUUUUCAUUUCAAUAACUAAGGAGCUGCAAAGAUUUGGAGGUGACUUGGUAUAAUCAAGAAAAAGUGAAGCUUUGAUGAAGCAAGUGAGGUUACGGUAUCACCCUCUAUCUCAUAAAAAACACAGCCAAAAAUCUUCUUACAAUCAAAACAAGAAAAACACUAACGCACUAAAACGUAAAACACAACCAAAACUAAAACUUCAUAAAACACACGCAAAGAAAAUACAAAAAUGCAGAAACGAAUUCCACAACUUCACCAUCACACAAACUCCACGUUCACAUAAAUUCCACCAUAACACAAACUCCACGUUCACAUAAACUCCACCAUCACACAAUCUCGACGUUCACAUAACUCCACGUUCACAUAACUCCACGUUCACAUUAACUCCACGUUCAUACAACUUCGCGUUCACAUAAACCCCACUACUUCACGUUCACAAGUUCACAUAGAGUUUGCUACUUUGAUUGUAUUUGUGAUUGUAUUUGGCUCAGUACACUCCAGCCUCUUGGAAUUAAGUAAGUCAACUCAGUUUUGAAGAAAACUGGUUCAGAAUCAUCAUCAUGUACAGGCGAUCCAAAUAUUCUCUUCUAUGCCUACAUUUAUUUUGCAGAUUUCAAAUAUCUCAAGAGGAACGAGAGCAGAAAAAAAUGAACAAUGGCUGGUGAACGUGUACUGAGGUAUGCAUCUCUACCAUUUUCUUAAGCUUGUUACUUUCCUCUCUGUUUCAAGUGUGGAUGAACAAAACGUUUGUAUUUUAUUUGAUCUAUGUUUUCUGUUUGUGUGACUUACUAAUAGAUGUCAUUGAUUUCAAGAGAAAUAGAUAGCGUGAAUUAGUGAAGAUGAAGCUUUGCUAGUACUAGUAGCUUCCAACAAAGCCUUACAUGUCAAUAUUAUGUAAAACGUCGACACUCGACAGGGAGGAUUCUGUAAAUUUGUUAUCUUGGGUUUCAUGAUCUUUUAAGUAUAUAUAUUUAUAGCUUGUAUUACCUUAUUUCUACUUUAAACCAGCUUUUCAAUAAGAAAAGAGGAUCGAUUUCAGAUACUUAUGAAUGAUCAGGGGUUUCAGAUAUAAUCGUCCAUUUAUUCAGGGGAUAGCACUCACUGGGUUUCAAACUUACGCCUCAAGAUUAGAGAAUGAAUAUAACUUCGUGUGAGCCUGGUGAUGUAUCUAUUAAGGAGUUGGUAAAGCCUAACGAGGCUUGUAUAAGAUAGAGCUUCGUAUGACAGUGCAUCACCAAAACUUAGAUUCGAUUAUCAGAUAUUGCGUUAUCGUGGCCAUAGCAACUUACAACACUCAAAGAUGCUAGUGACAGAUUACAAGGCUUGUGGAUAUGGGAAAGCCAAGCAUAUUUUCUUUAUGGCCAUGUUAAGGACUAACAACAUUAAAAGAUAUCACUGAAAAAUUAAAAGUUUCGUCGAUAUGGGAGUGCAAGCAUUUCCUUGCUAAGGUUAAAAUGUAAGCAACCUCCUCCUAUGAGCAGCAUUAGAUUUGGAGAUCAUAUAGGGUAGUCGAGAAGAAGUGACUUUUGGAUGACGUAACUGAGUUACGGUAAACUUAACACAAAAAAAAACACAAAACACAACCAAAACUACAAAAACAUUAAACAAAAAGAAAUACACACAAAAAGGAAAUACACAAAUUAAAUUAAAAAGAUGCAUUUAUAAACUCAAUUAAGUCACGAUCACAUAAACUCCACUAUUUCACGAUCACAUAAACUUCGCUACUUAACGAUCACAUAAACUCCCCUAUUUCACAAUCUAAUAAACUCCACA